ACUGAACGACAGGGGAGCGCCCCGCCGGUGAGACCGGCGCGGCGCUGAGAGUGCGGAUCGCCGCAGACCCUCGAACCUGCUCCGGUUAGCACCGGCGAAGGGAGUCGAGCAUCUCAGGGG
rnacentral:ncRNA from 1 species